rnacentral:rRNA from 1 species
GACGAACGCUGGCGGCGUGCUUAACACAUGCAAGUCGAACGGAAAGGCCCUGCUUUUGUGGGGUGCUCGAGUGGCGAACGGGUGAGUAACACGUGAGUAACCUGCCCUUGACUUUGGGAUAACUUCAGGAAACUGGGGCUAAUACCGGAUAGGAGCUCCUGCUGCAUGGUGGGGGUUGGAAAGUUUCGGCGGUUGGGGAUGGACUCGCGGCUUAUCAGCUUGUUGGUGGGGUAGUGGCUUACCAAGGCUUUGACGGGUAGCCGGCCUGAGAGGGUGACCGGCCACAUUAGGACUGAGGUACGGCGCAGACUCCUACGGGAGGCAGCAGUGGGGAGUAUUGCACAAUGGGCGGAAGCCUGAUGCAGCAACGCCGCGUGCGGGAUGACGUCCUUCGAGUUGUAAACCGCUUUCGCCUGUGACGAAGCGUGAGUGACGGUAAUUGGUAAAGAAGCACCGGCUAACUACGUG